GGAGAGGUGGCCGAGUGGUUGAAGGCGGCGGUCUCGAAAACCGCUGUGGGGGCAACCCCACCGUGGGUUCGAAUCCCACCCUCUCCGCCA
rnacentral:tRNA from 1 species